UCCAGCCUUCUCAUUCCCUCAAUAAUGACUGUGUGCAGAGAGCUCUUCCCGCUGAACUCGCGUGAGUUGACUCAGGCUUUCUUGGCAGUCUCUCUGCAGAGGACUGGCACUCGGCUUGCUGACUGAGCCCUGCAGAUCGCCCAGGGGCGUUUCUGCAUCGCUUCAGCUGCGGCUGUGAUCAGCUUUUUAAAGCUCUCCUUGAAGACGGGCUGUAGCGCUUUGAAAGGCAAACAAUUCUGCUAACAACACCCACCUCCGAAACUCGCAGCAGAUGAUGAUUUGUCUAGAGGACAAAAGGAGAAGUAUUACAGACAAGUUCUAGGUGUACACUGAAGUAAUUACUUGCAGGUUUGUUAUGAGAGAGAUCUACUUUACUUCUGAAUAACCUGUGUCUGGUUAGGAAGACUAAGGUGGAAAGAAAUGGCUUCAUCCCAUUCAAGAUGACACAUGCAGCUCGAAAAAUGGGAACUUUGGGCUGGUUGGAAAUCAAGGAGUGCUGGAGGAUUGGACAGUUACAGGACCAAAUUUGUUGGGGAAUUAGAGUAAGCUACAGAAUGUCACCUGAAGAAAUCUUUACACACCUCCAAUGUUUCCUGAAGGGACAUUUUGGAUCAGAAGAAAACAGAGAUCUAAUCUAAUGGUAUUUAAAAUGUGUCUUUGCAUUUCCUGCAUAACUGGAUCCUAGCUCAUUAAAGAUCUCCUGUGCUUUCCAGUGCCCCAGCAAAAUGUGGCUGCUCCAAAGAGCAGAGAUGCUGCAGAGGAGGCAGUGUCAGGAGUGUCUGAGAGAGAGACAAUGCCUUCAAAUCAGUGACUUCAAAUGGAAUCCAAGAGAGAGUUAGUUCUGUUUGAGGGAGAUGGUUGUAACCUGUUAAGAGCCAGGUCAGGGAGCAAAAUCUGGAAUGCAUCCCUAUCUGCAAACAGAGGUGUCUGCAUGUGGCUUGCUGGGGCUGUAGCUGGCACAAGCACCUAAAGCUUCCAUUGAGAUGGAUCCACCUCAAGCAAAGACCUUUUCCUCCUGGCUUAUGAAGCUGCAACACCAGUGAAAGCUGGGCAUGAAAAGAGCUGCAGCCCAUCCAAGUUUUUCAGCAGAGAAGGACCACAGAAUGUGGCUUGGAGAUGCUUUGAAUAGAAUUUCUUCAAGUGCAGAUACGUAUUUCUGUGCCUGGAGGAUCUGUGUUUCCAGAAAAAUGAAUUUUCAAACCAUCAUUCAUAUUUUAGUUCCCAAACGUUGUUGUCUACCCUUGUCAAAGCAGGUUCAUCAUGUCAGGGUAAUGCAAGAUAAAAAUUGUAACUUACUGGAGGACCAGGUGGACCAGGAGGACCAGGUGGGCCAGCUUCACCUGAAGGACCUGGUGGACCCUGCAACAGAAAAUUAAAAUCACAGCAGGAAUAAAGGAUGAAGUUCUCAUCUGUAUUAAAUGCCAUGGACAUCUGCCAUGUGUUAGCCCCAUCAAUGGACAGAAUCUACAGAAAUAGAGCUUUGAUGCUUAAUAUGGGUAUUGCUCAGCUGUAAGGUAAAAUAAUAAAGGAAUUUACCUGCAAGCCAAUAGGGCCUGGGGGCCCGGGGAAGCCUCGAGGACCUUCAUCACCUUUUUGCCCAAACAUCCCUUGCUGACCUCUUGGGCCUGGCUCUCC